ACGUAGGGUGCGAGCGUUAAUCGGAAUUGCUGGGCGUAAAGCGUGCGCAGGCGGUUCGCUAAGACAGGUGUGAAAUCCCCGGGCUUAACCUGGGAACUGCGUUUGUGACUGUAGGGCUUGAGUGCGGCAGAGGGGGGUGGAAUUCCACGUGUAGCAGUGAAAUGCGUAUAGAUGUGGAGGAACACCGAUGGCGAAGGCAGCCCCCUGGGCCGAUACUGACGCUCAUGCACGAAAGCGUGGGGAGCAAACAG
rnacentral:rRNA from 1 species